AGUGAACGCUGGCGGUAGGCCUAACACAUGCAAGUCGAACGGCAGCACAGUAAGAGCUUGCUCUUACGGGUGGCGAGUGGCGGACGGGUGAGGAAUACAUCGGAAUCUACUUUUUCGUGGGGGAUAACGUAGGGAAACUUACGCUAAUACCGCAUACGACCUACGGGUGAAAGCAGGGGAUCUUCGGACCUUGCGCGAUUGAAUGAGCCGAUGUCGGAUUAGCUAGUUGGCGGGGUAAAGGCCCACCAAGGCGACGAUCCGUAGCUGGUCUGAGAGGAUGAUCAGCCGCACUGGAACUGAGACACGGUCCAGACGCCUACGAGAGGCAGCAGUGGGGAAGAUUGGACAAUGGUCGCAAGCCUGAUCCAGCCAUACCGCGUGGGUGGAGAAGGCCUUCGGGUUGUAAAGCCCUUUUGUUGGGAAAGAAAAGCAGCAGGUUAAUACCCCGCUGUGCUGACGGUACCCAAAGAAUAAGCACCGGCUAACUUCGUG
rnacentral:rRNA from 1 species